rnacentral:tRNA from 1 species
GGGAAGGUGGCUCAGUGGUAGAGCGCUUGCCUUGCAUGCAUGAGGACCUGGGUUCAAUUCCUCAGCACCCA